rnacentral:lncRNA from 1 species
GCACAAAUAUCAAUCAGGACUAAAUUGGAAUGAAAACAGAAAUUCUACGGAAAAUCUGAAAUAAAUAAAAAUGAAAAGGGCCAAAUUGAGUGUGCGAAUAACAAGGAAGGACUAAAGCGGAAAAUAUCCUCACCCUCCAAAACGUAGCACCUUACAUGGGGCAAAUAUGAAAUCAAAGCAAAAUUUAGGAAAAAAUUAGGAAUAAAAGAGAACUUAAUUACAAAACCAUUGAAAGGCGGAAGGACCAGGGUCGUAAAUAACCUAUUUAAUGAAAACAUGCGGAUCCCCAUGAAGCAGGUCGGGUCGCGCACGGGUCGCCCUAUACGGCGUCGUUUUGGCACUGAAGGCACUAACCCAAAAUGGCACCGUUUUCAAUUGCUAUUUAAAUAAAAAACUGUUUCAAAAACAUUUUCAGAAGGAAUAUUUUUUUAAGAAAAAAAAAGGGGCUCUUCUCUGCUAGGGUUUUUUCCUAGCAAUGCGUCACCACGAACAAGGUUUUCCGCCAUGGCUCCGCCACCGACAACCACCGCACACGGAAGUCUAAGCCUCGGAAAUCCCCUUUCUCUGGUGAAUCAAAGGAUGUAUCCUCUUCCUCUCAUUUUAUUUUUCUAUAUAUAUGCGUAUAAAUGGCUAAAAGAAAAAAAAAUUUAGAAAAAAAUCACCUUUUUUUCGAUUUAUUUCUUUGAUCCUUUUUUUGUUU